rnacentral:rRNA from 1 species
UACAGAGGGUGCAAGCGUUGUUCGGAAUUAUUGGGCGUAAAGCGCGUGUAGGCGGCUUUGCAAGUCGGGUGUGAAAGCCCUCAGCUCAACUGAGGAAGUGCGCCCGAAACUGCCGAGCUUGAGUGCCGGAGAGGGUGGCGGAAUUCCCCAAGUAGAGGUGAAAUUCGUAGAUAUCGGGAGGAACACCAGUGGCGAAGGCGACUACCUGGCCUGUUCUUGACGCUGAGGCGCGAAAGCUGGGGGAGCAAACGGG